UUGAAAGAAAAUAACGUUUAUCAAUAAAUCUGCAUGAAAAAAAGAGAUCACAAAAUAAACUGCCUACUUUUAUUUCUUUUGUGAAAUGGAGACCACUUACUACGGUUUUUUGAUGACUUCUCCACUAACUAGAAUGUUUUGUUUCGCAGCCUUGCCGCCCUAUUCUGUUGCUGAUUUCUUGUUGAUGAGUGCAGCUUGGAUCCAGCCAUCCUAUUUCUCUGCUGAUAUCACUCUGCUCCAUCUUAAAGUAUUUGCUGUCUUUAAACACACUUGAAGUAUCUGCUGUGAAGCUGUAAUCAAAAUUUCAAGUUUGAAAGUGUUUCAGAAUCUUUAUUUAGAGAAACUUCCAUAAAAUUAUAUUUCAUUGUGGUUAGAGGUGAUAGUCAAAAGAACAUAAAUAAGAAGUUUCAUGGAUGUCAAAUUAACGUUUCUCAGAGAUCAUUCUGCAUCAAUCCAGUCUGCUGCAUGGAAGAAUCUGAUUACUUUAAUCAACACUUAUGCUACUCAUAUCUUAUCUUUUAGAACCAUUAGGGUCUUCAAAACAGAAAUUAACAUUUUUUAGAUAAUUUUUUAGUGCCAUUUAUCAUGACUAACUCAAUGGGCUAAUUGUCUUAUUAACUUGAUGGAUCCACUGUAGUAAAAUCAUCUGAAUCCUUAUAAACCAACGUUGAUACUUAAACUCAAGUUAUUUAUAGUAGACUCUGAUGUUUAUAAUCCUUAUAAACCGAUACAAGGCAUUUCAAACAUCUGAUGUGUUUGAAAAUGUGACAUUACAAGUGAUAAGAUGUGGGGUUAAUUCUUUGGUGAGGUCUUCCCAAAGUCAUAAAUCUUGAAAUAUAUCAAAUGUAUACCAAGGUUUGACUUACUAGUCCGAGCCGGUUUGUCGACCGAUCGGUGGCACAGCACAUGCUGCCCUGUAGUGGUGCACCAACACAUGAUAUGUAGCGUGAAGGGAAGCAGCAGCACGAUGGCGGUGAAGCGGUGAAGAGGCAGUAUUGCAACGGCGAAGAGGCAACAUCAAGUAAAGCUCCAAAUCAGCCGUAAAAUUCAUGCAUUUCGCUGACACAAGAGGCCGAACCAAAAAUGCUCAC
rnacentral:lncRNA from 1 species